rnacentral:lncRNA from 1 species
CAGAGAGCCUCGUGGGCCCUCGCGUCUGUCCGCUUGGAACAGCUCAGGAAUCGCGGAAGCUGUGAUCUUCGCCAGGUGACACAGGCUCCUUAAUCCGCGGGGCGACCUGACGACGACCUGGGGCAGGUUCUUCCCUUUGGAGAUUAUUCUCAUCCCUUAUGGCCUCGGGCUUGCUCAGGAGCCCUGGCAAUCCAGUGGCGAUUCCAGGUGUGCGUUCUUUUUUGAGGACUUGCUGUAAAUGUUCUCCACGGAGGCCGCAGUUUUUUUCCUUUUCAGAUACUGGGGAUGAAUACAAGCGGGCCCUCAGCUACAUCCCAGCCCUUUAUUUUUUACUUAUAUGGUUUGGUUUGGUUUUGUUUUGUUUUGCGAUAAGGUCUCUCUGUGCAGCCCAGACUGGCGUUGUACUCUCAGUGAUCGUCCUGCCUCAGCCUCCCAAGUGCUGGGAUGACAGGCGUGCAUCAUCACACCCAGCUGUGUCCAGGUUUCUGAUGGCGCAAAUCUCCAGGGUCUUGCUAAGUUGCUAAAUUACCCAGGCUCGGCUCAGAAUGGCAAUCUCCUGCCUCAGCCUCCCAGAGAGCUGGGAUUACAGUCUCACUAUGUAGCCCAGGCUGGCCUCGAACUUGAAGCAGUCUUCCUGCCCUGGUCUCCUAUGUGCUGGGAUUAUCUGUAUGUGCCACCACGACCGACUCAACAACCCCCCCCUUAUUUAUUUAUUUUUUGAGACCACUGAGAUAGUCUUGCUAAGUCUUCAAGUUGGCCAGGCUGUGCUCAAGCUUGCAGUCCUCCUGCCUCAGCCUCCCAGAGUACUGGGGUUACAGGCGUGGGCCACCAGGCUCCACUUCAGAUUAGGUUUCUGAUUUGUCAGCCCCUACUAUCACGAAUUCCUUAAUAUCCACCCAUCCAUCCAUCCAUCCAUCUCCUGCUGAUUCACUUUCUCCGAAGAAACUUCACACCUUCUGGGAGUCAGUAAGGCUGCCGUUCUUCAGU